AGAACGAACGCUGGCGGCAGGCUUAACACAUGCAAGUCGAACGCUCGUAGCAAUACGGGAGUGGCAGACGGGUGAGUAACGCGUGGGAACAUACCCUCCGGUUCGGAAUAGCUCAGGGAAACUUGGAUUAAUACCGGAUACGGCUGAGAGGCGAAAGAUUUAUCGCCGGAGGAUUGGCCCGCGUUCGAUUAGCUUGUUGGUGAGGUAACGGCUCACCAAGGCUUCGACGGGUAGCUGGUCUGAGAGGAUGUCCAGCCACACUGGGACUGAGACACGGCCCAGACUCCUACGGGAGGCAGCAGUAGGGAAUCUUGCGCAAUGGGCGAAAGCCUGACGCAGCGACGCCGCGUGCGGGAUGAAGGCCUUCGGGUUGUAAACCGCUUUCAGCAGGGACGAAUUGACGGUACCUGCAGAAGACGCCCCGGCCAACUACGUGCCAGCAGCCGC
rnacentral:rRNA from 1 species